rnacentral:misc_RNA from 1 species
GAUGAAGAACGUAGCGAAAUGCGAUAAGUAAUGUGAAUUGCAGAAUUCAGUGAAUCAUCGAAUCUUUGAACGCACAUUGCGCCCGCCAGUAUUCUGGCGGGCAUGCCUGUUCGAGCGUCAUUUCAACCAUCAAGCCCCCGGGCUUGUGUUGGGGACCUGCGGCUGCCCGCAGGCCCUGAAAACCAGUGGCGGGCUCGCUGUCACACCGAGCGUAGUAGCAUCAUCUCGCUCAGGGCGUGCUGCGGGUUCCGGCCGUUAAAAAGCCUCUAAUACCCAAGGUUGACCUCGGAUCAGGUAGGAAGACCCGCUGAACUUAAGCAUAUCAAUAAGCGGGAGGA